rnacentral:lncRNA from 1 species
UUAAAUUCCAGGUUACUUUGGGGGGGGGGUGGAUAAUUUAAGGAGCUGGCUGUCCCCCAGCACUGGGAUCAUGGCAGGAGAUCUCAGGUAGCUCCCUGCAGUUGUUUUGGCUCUUCUGUUGGAUGGCCAUGUCAUUGAUAGAUGGUGCCUUGAAGGUUGUGUAUGCAUUGUGUUGUUGUAAAUGUCCUGGGCACUAAACCAUGAGUGAGCUUCAUUUUUAUUCUAUUCAUUUCGGAAUGGACAAGACAUUAAUUUCUGUUUCUCAAAACAAUACUGCCAGACCUCUGAAACUAAUUGGAAAGUGAGAUUUGGGCCUUUUAGAUCUGCGCUGUGAGGAAGUAUAACCACAGGGUUCCUAAGAGGCCACAUUACAAAUUCAUCCAUUCACAAAAGGCAUCACCCGAUUCUUCCUAGCUUUAUUUGACUUUUUGAACUGUAGAAUAUUUUGUUUCCUGGCUGAAUGGAAAAACGAGACCAAAAUAAAUGCCCAAAUAAAGACUUCUUAGUAGAAAUCACUUUGUAUUGAACUAUGAUUCCUCAUGGUCCUGAGCAAACAGCCACCUGUCUCAGAGAAGAGACUGAAUUCUUCUCUAAUGGAACUUAGCUGGAGCAGCCUAAAGCUAUGACUUGAACAACAGUCUGUUUGUCUCCCUUAUUCCUUCCCAAGGGUGGUCUGGGAUGAACUGUGCUUUCAAGAGACGUUAGUUUCUAGCAUGACAAAGCCCAGGUCCCUUCAUUUAAAAUGCUUUCUGAACACUAUUUUACAUAAGACCUUCUGAAUUAUUUGAAAAAUGUUGGCCAUAGCAGAACUAGGCAUGGUUUAAUUUUACCUUCAGAUGCUUCAGAGCAGAGUGGAGAAACCUUCAGAUUCGGCUCCAUUGUUUAUAGCAGGGAUGCUUCCUCUUGUUUAUUUUGGGAAGUGUGGGCCAGGCUAUUUCAGAGGUUCUCCUGAAUUCCUUCUUCCUUUAUAUUUCUAUAUUGAAUGUUCUGUUUCUGCACCUAUAUUUUUGGUGAAAAUUGUCAGAAUCAAAAUGCAGCCACUUGCUGGGUGCAGUGGUGCACACCUGCAAUCCCAGAAUUUUGGGAGGCGAAGGCAGGAGGAUCACAAGUGCAAGGCCAGCCUGAGCAACUUUACAAGGCCCUAAACAACUUAGUGAGACUCUGUAUCAAAGUUAGAAAAAAAAAGAUAAGGGGGAUGGGGAUGUGGUUCAGUGGUUAAUUACUUCUGGGUUCAAUCCCUGGUACAAAAAAUAAAAAAGCCUCCCAUGAUAAUUUCCUUACCAUUUCACAGCUUUCACCAACCACGAUAUUGCAAAGCCAAAGGCAUUAAUUUAGUCUUUUAUUUAAAAACACCAUAUCUCACUUAACUACCAGCUAAAAAUUCACUCCAAGAUUCUGUGACUUUUUAUUGCCUUGCUUUUCAGCUAUUUCUCAUUAAAUUUCUGUUGCCAGAGGAGUUAAAUAUCCUGGAUACCAAACCAUUUAUCCUUCUCUCUGCACUCUACUUUCCACCAGCAGUGGAGUCUAUAAUUUUAUUUAAUUUCCCAGCAAGCAACUGCAGAGUUAUUUCUGAUUCUCUGCAGUUCACAAAUUUUUGAUCAUACCCAACUUUAAAUCCUCUUUCUUCCUUCUUUUUUCUUUGUUUUAUGGAUCCUAAGUUUAUUAAUUCUGUUGUUCUGACUGUUAUUUUCUUUGUACGAGUCCUUAGGCUACUAUGAGCCAAUAGCAGGACAAAUCUUCAAACCAAAUCCUUCCCCAUUAUGUAAAUAAAAUGAAUAACAUUGAAUUCAUUAUCUCAUCUUUUUGAUACAUCACCUAUAAAAUAAAACUUUGUAGGUCGCUAAACCACACCAUCAAUUUCCUGUUCUGAUCCUCUGCCCAUACUGAUUACCAAACAUCCCUUCUUACCCAACUCAACCCAUGCAGCAAUUCUGCUCUUCCAGAUACAUGCAUAGAAAUGGUUUGAAUAGAGUUCAUGUCCAUAAAUAAUUAUAUUUAGCAUAUACACAGAAUUUUAUGAUUCCACCCUUACUUAUGAAUUAAUUUGCUAUAGUAGAUUUAAUAAUUCCCAUUACCAACAUUUUAUAGUUGGAUAAAAUAAAAUACAGAGAAUUACAUUUCAAAUUGCCCAAACUAGAUUCUGCCUCUGUAAAUACAUUCAUUUUUUUUAAGUUCUGAAACAUGUAUUUUCCCUUGUCUGCUUUGAAAAGCAAAUGCAGGCUUAACUUUUACCAAUAUACUCAAUUUUAAUUCCUUUACUUCAAAUGACAUUCAAUUUUGGCAGAUAAAUAUGACUUUCCAGUUAUUUCAAAACAUUAAUUUAAUUGCAUGAUUUCACAGCUGAAAUCUAUUGGAGUUCUUUGUUUUUCUAACUCAGGGAACAUAAGUGCAGAGAGAGUUAAAAUUACUUGUUAAGUUACACACUCUUAAUAAAGUACAUCUACUAUGUUUUAUAGGCUGAAACAAUAUUUAGGUAUCCAAUUACCUUUUAUUACUUAUUCUCACUUGGAGAAAUUCUUAUCAAAUAUUAUCUACAUCAUUCUUUAUAUGCUGCUUUUGAAAUUAUAUUUGAGAAAUUCUUAUCAAAUAUUAUCUACAUCAUUCUUUAUAUGCUGCUUUUGAAAUUAUAUUUGUUAUCUAUACAUUGUUUUACAUAUAUGAUAUUAUUAUUUUUUGUUGUAUCAUGUAUUGGAUUUAUAUAUUUGUGAAUUGUAAAGACUCAUAACACAAGAUCUAAAUUUUCAAAAUUGUUCAAGAUUCUUCUAAUACUAAAACUUAUCAGUAGACAUAAUUUAAACAAAGCAUGUGUUUCUUAGAUCAAAAUAUUUUCAAAGUCACCAGAUUAUAUUUAUCAUAAAAUGUUGAAAAGACAUGGAAAUACCAAAUCAAAAGUUUAAGAUCACCAUCAAUUCUUCCCUUCAAAUAAAACCUUUAUACAACUUUGGUUUUACUCAAUGUUUUGCCUAGUAAAGAGCAGUUUUUUGCACAUACUAAGAAUCAAUGGACAUUAGAAAAUGAAUGAAUGAUGGAUGUCAAUCCAUAUGAAUUCUAAACAAAAAUUAGAUCAAUGUAUA